GUGGAUGUAGCUCAGUGGUAGAGCACCUGGUUGUGGUCCAGGCGGUCGCGGGUUCGAUCCCCGUCAUCCACC
rnacentral:tRNA from 1 species